GAGGGUACAGCUCAAGUGGUAGAGUGCCUGCCUAGCAUGCACAAGGUCCUGGGUUCAAUACCCUGUACCUUCU
rnacentral:tRNA from 1 species